UUUUUCUCUGGAACAUCAAGGAAAACGAUACUACUGCUCCUCAAAGGAGACAUCCUGUUACCAGUGAAGUUCAUGCCUUUCAAAUCUUUGGUUUUACAGGGCACAGCAGUUUAAAGUAACUGUUGUAUGUUCUGUCAUCCUUCCUUGCAAGCAGAUGAAUACAGCAAACAUCGCAGUAGCAGUGAAAGUCCCUCGUACAGUCAGGAUCAAUACCUUACUCUUGUAAGUGCCGGUUUCUAGCGGGGGGUGUCCUUGGUGGGAUGAACAGCUGUCCUCAGCUCACUGCUCUGUACUUGUACAAAAUUUACCUGAGAACUCCACACCUGCCCUUUUCCUCCAAUAGACAAUUUCUAACCAUGGUCAAUCUUAUUUAGGACAUGGUUCAGUAAAGCAUAUAAGCAACUACUUAAUUUAAAGCAGAUAUGUAUUACCAUUGUUCUUAAGGAGCUAGGUUAGAAGCCAGCCAAACAGGCCUAAUAAAAAUACUCUUGAAGCUAUAACAGAAUAGUUAUUUCCGAAAUGAUUUAAGUGGUCUAGAAACUCAUUGAACAGACAAAAAGUGAAAAGUAUAUCUAUUCUUACCCCUUAAAAAGCUUUUCUGGAGUUACAGCUAAUUUAUAGAAUUUCUUGAGUAAAGAAAUGUAUCCAUUGUCAUUGUCUGGAGAAGAUUAGACUCAUAUCUAGCAGAACAGUACUAUGGUGACAGCUGCUAAAGCAAAUACUGUAAGAAACAGCUAUACAAUUUUGAAAAAGUGGACACAAUUUGACCUUGCUGGGAGAAGGCAUAACCAUAGUGACUUAAAUAAAUUACUGCUGUUUUUUCAAGGCUGUAAGUUUGACCUAGUAAGUCUAAACAGUGUCAGAGGCUGAAUGCCCCCCUGCCACUCAUCCUCCAUGACUCGACUGGCUGUCUGAAAGGGAAGGAUGGUGCUUUCUCACCCUUACAGUGUGUUAAGAGGACCUCUAGGAUUGCUAUAAUCAUAUUAAGAUCCUUCUGUGCCACUGCUCUUUACACCAUACCUAUGGAAACUGCAGCUGAAAUGUCUCCAGAGCUCUUGCAGGGUCUUUCCCAACUGCAGUUUUCUGGAUAUAGACAGUACCUUUUAAUCACCUGUCUAGUCACAACUUCCCACUUUUCUGAUAAGUGCAAUGGGAGACUAGUUAUCAGUUCCACAGAACUAGCAUAGCUCAUGGAUAUCAUGUUUGUUUUGUUUGCCCAAUUAAAAGAUCGGGUGUGAGUUUAAAAUUCCCAGAAACCGCAGCAGCAGCGUUGCACUGCAUAUGGCAGAGGAAAUGCAAUUAAUAUGUCUGUCUGGAAGCUAAGAGGAUAUCAGCAAUUGCUAUCAAAACCAGAAUUCACAUGGAGAUCAUUGCAAUUCAAACAGCUAUUUGACCUGACUUUCAAAAGACCAGAAUAAAGUAGCCUGAUUGGAUUCCUCAGGGAAUCUGGUGUUCAGCUGGGAGAGGCUUUAGCUUUGUUAACUGUCUAAGCACUGGCAAGUGUUUAAACUGGAAUAAUAAGGUUUAAAUUCCCAGGGUCAGCAGGCCAGCGCAGAGAGUGUAAUUUUAAAAGAAAAGCAUGCUUUAUAAAGCAAUUAAUAAAAGUCAGACCCUAAGGUGGCAUCUGUUCCAUUUAUUUCAAGAAAGGCAUCGCAGAAUAUCAGCAAAUUGCUUUAUUUCUUUGCUUGAGUUCAUUUCAAAAUGUAUCUAAUUGUAAAAGAUUCCCCAGAGGACUGCCAUCAGGUAUAGAAGUCAUAUGCAAUUCCCCAGGGUUCAGCUUUGUCUAAGAAACUGUAAGAGGCAUUUCACUGAAACUGCACACCAAACCAGUUAUAUAAAAGUGGCAGCCACACAUGCUCACGUUCAGGUAGGCUGAGAUUACCAAACAAAACAAGCCAUUGUACAGUGUUAAUUGCUAAAAAGAACCACUAAACCUUAUUUUAUUUCCCCUUUUCCUCCAUUCUUAGUUGUGUUAAUCCAGUAAGUGAGCAGAAGUUAAAUAUCACUGAAGAUGCUAUUUUAGGACAUCUCAGAUUGGCAAGAAUCAUAAUUAAAUGGUCAUUACAGUCUCUUAAUCAGCUAUGUCUUUUCCUUCUGUGUUUGAAACAUUAAUCUCUUGCUUGUUUCAGUACAAGUUAUGCUAUAACUUUUAUACAACAACCUUUGGUCUGAUCAUAUAGCUCUACUGCAAGUCAAUGGCAGCUUUAGGUGACCAUGGAGCAAGCCUUGUCUUCUUACUUGUGCUGUAAAUGCCACAUAGCUCCUAUAAAUCAAAUAAACUACUGGGCAUUGGCAAGAUUUUGGCUUUGUGCUUCUGCUCUCAUUCUAGACUUGCAAAGAAUACUUCAGUCUCAAGGACCCAGCCAGCACUUAAAAUAAACAAGCAUUAGGAAUUCAUUAAAAAAGCAAAAUAAAUAUAUACGUUUCAGUCUAGAAAACAUUGAUUUAAAUUUCCCAGCAUUGUCUGAUACAAUUGUGAUUACUUAUGUUACUCAUUUCAGCUCACCUGCUCUGAUGCCGAUUUAGCCGCACCGCAGAGACUGUGUAUGUAAAUUAUCUACAUAGAUUUGUGAUCUGACCUCUCCACCAGAGCUUGUGCAAUGCAUUCGUAUGUGGGGAGCACACGUGUGGGAUCUGAGGGGUCUGUGCAGAGUGAAAAUCAAAGAACAUUUUCAGAAGUACUCCAUAUGUUGCCUGCAGGAUCCAUUUUUAAAACAGACAUAGCUACCUCUCUCCUGUUGAACUCAGCAUAACGAGGGGAAAAAAAUUCCUUUACAGCAACCUGAAGCCCAAGGCAGGAAAGCUGAAUUUGCUUCCAUGUAGUUCCAGCACUGAAUGUGCUUUGGCAACAUCUUCCAUAUAUUCCAGAGGCAGGAGGAGGGAGAUGGUUCAGAUUUAGUUGUCAGAGCAGAAGACUCCUCUCCCUCCUUUUUGUCAUCUCAACCAGUCAUGAGGAGGUAAAGUGGAAGGCAUUAGCUUAACAUGAAGAGCUAUGAUUUUCUUCGUUAUCUUCAAAGGAGGCAGCAUCUUGUCACCUGCCAUCUGUUUUACCUGCCAAUUAAGGUAAGAUACCUUUACUUUGAUGUUUAAGGUUGGCCAGCAGCAUAGCUUCUUCCUGACACUGCUGCACAGUAUGAGGAAACAUUUAAUUCAAGGAUAUUCAGUGUUUAUUGAUAGAAAAAGGAAAACUCACCCAUGUCUCACUUCUCCGUGUAUCUAAAGCUCGCAUUACUAUGGCAUUGCUGACCUGUAAAUUGGCCUGUAAAUAGUAUCAGUCAUCUGACUUUUGGAAUAGGGAAACACCACCAAGACUAAAGUGCCAUUACCUCUCUUGACCCUGUCUCCCGACACCAAAUAUGAAGCUUGUCAUUUCCAACACCAUGAAGAAGACCAUCUUUCUGAGCUUGUCUAAAUAUUGACCCAAAGUGGAAGAGUACAGUUUGUCCUUGUGCACUUUCCCCACGGCAUUGCAGCUGGAAGGUUACAGAUCAUGUCAUUCAUUCCCUGUGAGCUGUUGGUUGCUCAGCAGUUUCCCAGAUAGGGCGACGUAGACAGCCAUACAAGGAUUUAGAAUGGCAAGUUAAAAUGAAGAUUUCCAGGUACAUUAGUAAUAUGACUUAAUAGUUAGAGCCUUAUUUGUACUGGCUUCAGCAAAAUAACUGUAUCUAAAUAUGGAAUCCUUUGAUGAAGAGCUAGUGUCCUCCCUCAAGACAUGGCCCUACGUAGAAAUAGGAGCUUGCAUAGGAUCCGUACCACUCGGGGACUGAGAAAUGACAUUGCUAAGGCCGUCAGUGCAAAAAAGGCUGGGGUAUGGCAUGGGUUUUUGUGCCUGGGCCAGCAGUGUUCAAACCUUCGGGAUACCAAAGAUUCAGCUGCAGUCAGCCACUGUGGCUAUAAAUGCAAGGACAAAAUUUUUUCUCUAUUUGCCUUCUCCUGCACCCAUAUGCAAAAGUUAGUCAAUCCUGACCCUAAGUGAUUAGCUGAUUGUUGUGAAAAGUUAAGAACAAGGUAAAUCUUUACAUCCCAGUCUCACUGUGAUUACAGCUUCUAAGACAGCAAUUAGCCAUCCUUCCCUGCGUCCCAUCUGGGAGAGAGAAAUAACAUGUUACCUUCUGGAAUGAAGCCUCCCUUACAUGUUUUAACCUCUCUAGGAAAGUUCAUGCUGGGAUAUUUACAGCCUUUGAGUCACUGCAAUAACUUUUCCUUUGAAAUCUUCAAAUUAAAGGAAAGAGAUUGAUAUUUCAUGCCCUUUAGCUCUAAACAGUGGAUUUAGAAAAUGGGUUCCAGUAAAGUUGCCUUAUAGAAAGAAUUUUACAGUAUUUGCUAUUUUUGCUAUAUUCUAUUAUGAUUAUCCUAAUUUGAUAUGUUUGACUUGCAGUGGUCCACAGGGAGCCAUACAAGGAGACAGCACCCAGCUGGGCUCAUUGGCACUCUCAGGGGAUGAGGAGAAAUAGGUCUGGAAAUCAAAGAAUACGUCCAAGGAGAUAAGUAAAUGUGAGAAGGAGCCUCAUUCCCCCUGGAUCAACAGCAUCACUUCCCAGCAACUCCUGUUCAAGUCCUUCAAGACCAAUGCAGGAGAUUAGGCAGCGGCUGCAUUUAUAGCUAGCAUUGCUCUCUCUCCUUUCUUUCUGAGUUGUUGGUUGUGGUCACUUAUUCAGUUUAUUUUAGAGCUACUUCUUUCAGGCCUUUCAAUAAUUUAUGUCUCAAUAGGGAAAAAUGCCAUCCAAAGUACCCCCAUAAAUUUACUAAUGUCACCUCAGCUUUUGAAAGCUGAGACCACAAAAUCCUGGACUAUUGACCUUCCAGUGAUACAAUUUAAAGCCAAACUCUUAACUUAUUGACAACUUAUUGAGACUCACACAGACCAUUUUAAUUGUUUAGCCUGGCUGACUGACCACGGGGGGAGGAAAUAAAGUUCCCUUGGAGUUGCUCAAAGCUUUGCACGAGGGGUACCAGCACACACUGCAAAGCUCUGUGCUUUUGUGAGCCUCUCCUGAAGCACCUUUUUUAUCCUCUCCAUCGUGGUAACAAGAGCUGGCCCUGCCAAUGCAAGAAGACUUUGUGUUAUCGGCCCUUCCUGCCCUCAGACACAGGAGAGGCCAUUCCUGAGAGCUGCUGGUUCAGGUGAUGAAGCUU